GGUGAACGCUGGCGGCGUGCCUAAUACAUGCAAGUCGAGCGAACAGACGAGGAGCUUGCUCCUCUGACGUUAGCGGCGGACGGGUGAGUAACACGUGGAUAACCUACCUAUAAGACUGGGAUAACUUCGGGAAACCGGAGCUAAUACCGGAUAAUAUAUUGAACCGCAUGGUUCAAUAGUGAAAGACGGUUUUGCUGUCACUUAUAGAUGGAUCCGUGCCGCAUUAGCUAGUUGGUAAGGUAACGGCUUACCAAGGCAACGAUGCGUAGCCGACCUGAGAGGGUGGUCGGCCACACUGGAACUGAGACACGGUCCAGACUCCUACGGGAGGCAGCAGUAGGGAAUCUUCCGCAAUGGGCGAAAGCUUGACGGAGCAACGCCGCGUGAGUGAUGAAGGUCUUCGGAUCGUAAAACUCUGUUAUUAGGGAAGAACAAAUGUGUAAGUAACUAUGCACGUCUUGACGGUACCUAAUCAGAAAGCCACGGCUAACUACGUG
rnacentral:rRNA from 1 species